UAGGACCUAGUUUGGAACAUGGUCACAUACACACAGGGCUGAGCUCUUGAAAGGAUUCCUUGAUAGUGUCAAAAGGACAAGACAGACACGUGGUGGUUGUACAGGACAGCAAAGUGCUGCUGCCAGGCUGUGAAGUCACAGCUGUAUUGAAUUCCUGGCUCAGGGCAGAGAAACGUAGAGGAGGCGAAUCUUGAAAAAUGCAAAUGUAUUUAGAUUUAGAGGAACUCUGCUCUUAGAUAGUAGAGCCACACUACCACAGAAAUACCUCAAGAAGAAGAGUGGAUAAUUGUUAAAAUCAUCAGACUGCAAUGAGCUCUUGCUAUCCAGCUGCAGGUACACUGGAUUUCUUUAGGUAGAAGAAAGGACUCUGGAGCAGAGAGGCAAGAAAGAAUUUCCCUAAGGUCACCCAGAGGCAGGGACAGAGCCAUCUGCCUGAGUUCCAAGCCUGUGCUCCUUUGACUGCCGAUAUCAGGAGCACUGACAUGGAUGCAGUUUGCUGUUGUGCCAGAAAGCUGAAUCCCAACCACCCUGCUUGGCAUUGAAACUCCAGACAUCAGCAGGCAGAAGGAGCUGUGAAGAGCUGAACGCCUCAGGCUUCCUUGGAGAGGAAGAUGCCAGCCUGUCCACCACAGGACACAAGAUGCAGUGAAACCUGCUGGAACUGGGCCUCCUUUGUAAGAGUCACAAAAUAACUCUGACACCAAAGAAUCUCCACCAUUCUCCAGAAUAUUAACAAUGCUCUUUGCACCCGACUUGACCCAUUGUUUCGUGUUUCCUUAAAUGUCAUGGUUUGCACAUGGAAGACUCAGAGCUAAAGUAAAAUUACAAAUUAAUUAUCCUUCAAAUUGAGCUUGUCUCCCCCAGGUUAGAUUCCAUAUACAUCUGAGGAGAACUGUGGUUGGAAUGAUAACAUAAACCAUAUUGCCAAAAUCCUUAACCUCACUAGGUCUGUUAAUUCAAAGUAACAAAUGCUUCCUCAUGCCCUCCCAAUUUACAUGUGAAUUUUGUUAUCACCUCCAGUUUUUAAAAAAGUGCUUCUUGCCACAAUGAGUAUUAAAAGCCAAAUUCUAAAGGAAAAGCAUAUGAAAGGAAAUUAUUAUUGAAGCAUUAAGAGACAGUGGUAAGAUGUUCAUUGAAUUUGCUCAGUACCUCAUCAGCCUCCUCAAAAAACAAAGUCCAGUGCUCUCAGGAGAUAUGUACAUACUUAAGCACAUCAGAAUUACAGCUUCCAUCUAAUGAACAUUUACCUCCUUCUAAAUGUCACUCUUGAAGGGAGUAACCAGAAAAAAUGUCACUGAAGAUAAUAUCCCUCAUGGACACGAGGCAAUAAAACCAUCACUAGGUCCAGGUGGAAAAUCAUUAUUCAGAACAUCAUAGAAGCCCUUCAAUUAUUUCUCCAUCUGUGAAACUGUUGUCAAGUGUCCCCCAAAGUCAGCAACUGUUCAGUGUGCAAUGAUGGAUUUUUAGGUUUUUUUACAUUAUUUUAAAAAAUCCAUUGCUUGAAGGAAAACAGGGA